ACCCAGAUUUGACAGAGAGGAGC
rnacentral:siRNA from 1 species